GUUUGUGUUUGCUCUGAAUUUUGUACACAUUAAAGUUCUGAGUGUUUUCUUUGUGUAUUUGGUGCUAUCUAACAUUGACUUGUUCUGCUUUUUUUUGUAAUUUUUUAUAUAUUUUUUGUUUCAUGCACUUCCUGCUCUUGUGUCAGUUUAUGGAAAUAAUUAGUGUUAGUUUGAAGAUAAAAACAGUUUGGGCAAAAACAGAGCCAUGGAGAGGAUGAGACAAGAGAGCAAAGUGAUCUUCUGUGUCUGUGAAACCAACAUUUUGGAUAAACAAGAGAAUUUGAAGAUUAAACCAGAUUUACAGCGACGUCAUCACUUAAUAACGUCUCCACUCCCGCAUUAAUCCAUCAUCCAUCAUUCCCAAGCAUAAUGAGUAAAUGAUGAGGCUGGACCACUUCCUGCUGGAGGAACAGACGCUCGCUGAAUGUCACAUCUCGCCCACAGUGCUGCCGCUGCUGCUGCACUCCUGGUAAUUUUAGGAAGGGAAUUAGACACUCUGUGUGUGUGUGUAAAACCUGUACUGAACAAUAAAAGGUCAGCAUGCAUGUGUUGGCCAUCUGCACUUGUAAGAUGCAGGAUUUGAAAGUUGAAUAAUGCUGGCUUAAUUGUACAAUUACAGGUCAAAUGUAACAUUCAGCUAAUUCACUGUUUUUUGUUAUGUGUUGAUUUGUAGUUAAGCAACGUUAUAAUAUAUAAACCCUACCUCCAAUAUAACAACCUUACAGAA